rnacentral:rRNA from 1 species
GACGAACGCUGGCGGCGUGCCUAAUACAUGCAAGUCGAGCGGAUUGAUGGGAGCUUGCUCCCUGAUAUCAGCGGCGGACGGGUGAGUAACACGUGGGCAACCUGCCUAUAAGACUGGGAUAACUUCGGGAAACCGGAGCUAAUACCGGAUAAUCCCUUUCCUCUCAUGAGGAAAGGCUGAAAGAAGGUUUACGCUAUCACUUAUAGAUGGGCCCGCGGCGCAUUAGCUAGUUGGUAAGGUAACGGCUCACCAAGGCAACGAUGCGUAGCCGACCGGAGAGGGUGAUCGGCCACACUGGGACUGAGACACGGCCCAGACUCCUACGGGAGGCAGCAGUAGGGAAUCUUCCGCAAUGGACGAAAGUCUGACGGAGCAACGCCGCGUGAGUGAUGAAGGUUUUCGGAUCGUAAAACUCUGUUGUUAGGGAAGAACAAGUACGAGAGUAACUGCUCGUACCUUGACGGUACCUAACCAGAAAGCCACGGCUAACUACGUGCCAGCCGCCGCAGUAA